GAGGGUAUAGCUGAGUGGUAGAGUGCCUGCUUAGCAUGCUUGAGGUCCUGGGUUCAAUCCCCAGUACCUCCU
rfam:Camelus ferus unplaced genomic scaffold scaffold739, whole genome shotgun sequence.